UACGAAGGGGGGCUAGCGUUGCUCGGAAUCACUGGGCGUAAAGCGCACGUAGGCGGAUCUUUAAGUCAGGGGUGAAAUCCUGGAGCUCAACUCCAGAACUGCCUUUGAUACUGGGGAUCUCGAGUCCGGAAGAGGUGAGUGGAACUCCGAGUGUAGAGGUGAAAUUCGUAGAUAUUCGGAAGAACACCAGUGGCGAAGGCGGCUCGCUGGACCGGAACUGACGCUGAGGCGCGAAAGCGUGGGGAGCAAACAGG
rnacentral:rRNA from 1 species